CGGAGGUUGGCAUUUGAAGAGAGUAUUGAAAUGUUGAAAAUAAGCGAUGAAGGAUUAUGAUUUAAUGUGAAUAUGUUUAUUAAGAGAUAUGAUUGGUAUUAUUAAAUUUGCCUAUACUAAAAUGUAUGAUAUAUUGACGCCACACUGUUAAUGUUUUGUUGUGUAGAUAGAUUAG